rnacentral:tRNA from 1 species
GGGGUUGUAACUCAGUGGUAGAGUGUUCGCCUUGCAUGCGAAAAGCCUGGAGUUCAAUCCUCCGCAACUCCA